ACAUCUGCCCUUUUCAGGGCAACCAAAUAUUUUCUUACGUGGAACAU
rfam:Cerapachys biroi unplaced genomic scaffold scaffold509, whole genome shotgun sequence.